rnacentral:rRNA from 1 species
AUGCUAGUAUUUCUUCAUGUACUGGACAUGUGUUACAAAGAUGCUAGUAUUUCUGCAAGUAACCGGCAUGUGCUCUUGGGAGUGACAGUAGAAAAUUUCCUCGCUAUCGCCGCGGGUGCCAAAAUGAAGCUCUCUUUUCCAUUAGCAUAUUCCACAAGGAUUUCUAUCAGACGUAAACCCAUUAGCGAUGGCCGGUAUCAGAUUGCGCAUUGCUGCUCCACUCGUGCUAGUGGUUGUAAAGCAAUGUGCCAGGGAUCCGUCGCCAUAUGUCAGGAAAUGCGGGCAUACGCUCUGCUACUUGACACCGUAUGCAUCUGA